GGGUAUCUUGCUGGAGAUCCCUCCAUACUGGAGGCCUUCUAAGGUUGUAAUACUUGUCCUUUCAAGUAACUGUUACACGUGCUGAGGCUCUGCAUUCCAGGAUAUCUGCCUAAGUUCAAUGUUUUUGUUUGUCCAAGCCUUCAUCUCCUCAGCCGUGCAAGAGAUUUCUCCAAGACUCAUUAGGACACAGUUUGUUGUGUUUACUAAAAGCCAUGAUGCUCUAAGUGAAAAGGAAAACGGCAAAUUGAAUCCAGAAGUCACCCAAUUAUUUAAAUUAGCGUAAACCUAACAGGAUUUUUUUUUCAAAAUUGGAAGGACCUAGCAAGACCAGUCAACUUGACAGGGGAAAGUAAAAGUCAUGAGGAUUAGAUGUGCAAUGGAAGUUAAAAAAUUGAAAAAAAGAAAGAAAGAAAAUUAUCUGUAGCUAACUGGAGAAGGACAUGCUCAUCAGUAUGAGUAGUUCCAUGGGAACAUUUGCUUUAAGCAUAACACCUCUUUAUUUCCAGUUUUCAAUUCACGAGAAUUGCUGUCAUUAAAACAGGAAUAUUUUAAUUUUUUCUUUUCUUUUUUUAACUUUUUCACAAAUGUAAAAUGAAAAGCAGGAAAGUGUCUUGUUUGAAUAGUUUUUGUUGUUUAUUUGUCAUCAUCUGUGAUGUCCUGGGCAUUUGCCAAAAAUUCAGUAGAAGAUCUAUCCUCUGAAGAGUCAUUCAGAAUCUAAGGACAAACAGGCAAAGGUUACAGGAAACAGAUAUUGGUUAAAACAGAUCAAUAGGUAGUGAGAAAAAUGGUCUGUUUAACAUAUAGAUGUUCAAGUCACUUAAGAUGGGAUUGGCAUACACAAGAACUUAAAAGAAGGUCAGUAACUCUGUAGUGUCUCCAAUGGUAUUUCAGGAUGUUCUCAUUUGCAAAUGACAUUUUGCUGUUGCCAGAAUACUUGUAUUUUCUCCUUGAUACCUUUGCUUUCCUUACCAGCUUGACAGCUUCCUUGGCACCUAAAUACUGAUUACAUAUGUGCUAUGAAAGGGCUUCUGUUUCUAUUUAGACUGCAGAAAAAAAAAUCUUAAAAAGAGGAAUUAAAAAAUAAAAAAAAAUCAAUAUUGCUGGUGAAAUAAUAAUUACAUAAUAUUUCUUACUUGAAAAUAAUUUUAAGAUCAGGAUGAAUUAAUUUGGCAUUACUUCUAUCUGCUUUCUGUCCUGGCACGUAAAGACUUUAGGUUGAUUACUUUAAUACCACACAUUUCCACUUCUCCCUGGUGACCUCUAUAUGUGUGGUUUGCUGCAACUCAAAGCCCACCAUGGAAGAUACAUUUCUCAAUUUGUGCAGUAUAUCCUACUAAGCAUUGACGACUUGCUGCUGUUAUAAAAGAAACAAGUUUCUCCUAUGUUACAAAGCUUACUUCAAAGAAGUCUAAGACUGGAGAAAUGAAAAAGAAUGGUUGUUUCACUAUAUUUGACUUCAUUUCUCUUAUCUACUGAUUAAUGUUCUUCACUCAAUUGAGUAGAUGCCAGAAUUUAAGAACCUGACUGCUGAAUACUACAAGAGCACAGGUUUAUAUAUUGUUAAGACCACUGAACUAAAUCAUUUUUGUCUGAGAUGAAUCUUCCUGAACUACAUUUCUUGGAUAAUAAUGAAUACCUCAAGUCACCAGGGAAAAAAAGAAAUGGAGGAGAAUUGGCUGGAAGUUUUUGAGGACACAGUAAACCUCAAUCUUCUAGAUAAAUCUGUGCUUCUGAUUCUAGCAUUUUGUUAGCUGGUGCUACUACAUAUUCCAACAGGGGAAUGCUGUUGGAAUAUGUAGUUCAUGAACAGAAUUCACCAUGCUCCAAAAAUGACAAAGUAACAUAACUUUUGUUUCUGUCUAUAAGAAGUCACUAAUCAUACAAGAGGCUGAAUACAGAUAAUUAUUUCAGAAUAGUAAAAAGUGAACAGUGAAACAGACUCCUCAGAUGUGAUCUUCAGUAAAGAAAGGCAUUUUGUGAGGUAAAAUGGCCUUCAGGAAUAUUAGCUGCCUGCUCAUGAAUCAAAAUAAAGCUUUUUACUGGUCCCUAACUGCAUAGUGAGCUCUAGAAUGUACAAAAAGUAAAUACAGAAUACUACUUAUGUGUUUUAUCUUUGUUGCUAUCAAAAUAUUCUGUCAUUUAAACAUUCAUAUUUUAGGAAUGUUGCAGGAAGGUUUUUGGGAGCUGUUACUGAUCCAACUGUUCAAGUUUGAAUCCUUUGGGAAUUAACAGCUCUCUGUUGUCAGUUGUAUAUUCUUUUAAACAACUUCUUAAACUAUGUGUUAUUUACAUCUAUGUUGCUAAAGUAUCCUGUGCUGUUUUACAUGCUCCUAUAGCCAAAUGUUUAUAUAUUCCUUAAAUUCAUACUGUGUGCAGAGUGAGAAAAGGGAUGAUCAUCACUUUCUGUAGUUGUAAAAAGGAGGCACUGCGGUGCAUAUUCUUCCCCUGAGUUUUCAGAGAACCAUGGAAAGAGGUGCAAACAGGUGCAGGGAAUUACAGGUAUAUCAGUGCCAUGAGAUUUGAUACAGCUCAGUGAGAACAAAGAUACCUCUGAUACUUUAAUUUCAUGAAAUUAAAGCAUCUUCAGAUGCAAAAUAUUUUCAGAUGUAAAAUCUUUUCUAGCCAAGACACUAUUUGAAAAGCCAUCCAACCUGUUCCCUUCCUUAUAGUAAGGAAGUCCAUAGUUGGUAAGAAAGGCUAGAAUGUUGUAAUUCACAUUUCUACUGAUAAUGACUGAAUUCUAAAUUCUUUACAUUUUAAAACUUUCUUACUCAUGUAUGAUCUUUUAAAUAUUUCAUAUGAAAUAAAAUUGUUUGGAACUUUGAAAAGCAGAACUUGUUCUUAUUUUCUUUUCAUCACAUAAGGAAAUUGAGAAUUAUGCAUAAUUGUCUUGACAUUUUAUUUCAGUAUAUCAGCUUCUGAUGAUCAAUGAAACUCUUCAGUAGAUAUGGGUUUGAAAGCCAAGGAAUUAAGCAAUCCUAGUCUUUAUCAGUCCUUAUCAUUGAAUUCCUGUAUUAUUUUAAGUGGGGCGGAAAAAGUUCUCAGCGGCCAUCUUUCCCUCAAUCUAAAUAGAUGUGAUAUUUAUGACAAAGUUAGUUCAUAUACAAAGCAAAUAAUAUGGAAGUUUUUAAAAAUCGUCAUUCCUUUCUACUUUCUAAAUUCAAAUUCAUGUCAAUUUUCAUUUGGUGGUAAAAACAAUUCAUGGGGUACAAACUAAUUUGGUCUUCAGCAGCAUAACUUUGCACUCACCCUUCUUGCAGUUGCACUUGACCACAAAUCUCUAAAUUCUCUUUUAAUUUUUCAAAAUUAUUUUAUUGAAUGUUAUAGAAGCAAAUUUUUUGGAUCUUUCUCCAGCCAUGGAAAACUAAAAUGUAUUCAGUGUGGCCUUUUCAACUUCCAUACUUCUCUAGGCUGUCAAUAAACAGGUAUGUCACUGAACACCAUCUGCACACAGAUUCAGCAACACAGUUGGAACAUUCUUAGUGUUCAAAGAGAGGUCAGCCCUUGUUUUCACUUGCAACUUUGCCUCGUUGGAUCUAAAACAAUCUGAGACACUUCAGUAAUUUUUCAUCUGUGGUUCUGCUGAAUUUGUUUUGCUGUUACUUGGAAAGGAUGAGAGCUGUUUUCUAUUUGUACAAUCAAAAAUUGUUAUUUCUAUCUGUGUGUUAUGCCUGGCUGUGAUACUGAACAUCAUGCUUUUUAUUCUCUAGCAUUAAGAUUGCUUGAUGAAUCAGAGGCGGAACUCCAGCUUGCUUUUUGUUACCGUAUAAAAGGACUCCUACAGUUACUUUGAGUCUAAAAGUAAUUGGGUGAAUGCAUCUUUCCCAGUGCUGUAAAAACAGGCAGAGUAAUCUUCUUAGCCUGGACUCCCAGAUAUCUGGACCCAGUCCAACUCUACUCUGAAAGCAACAAAACAUAAAAUCAUAGAAUGGCAUAGGCUUAAAGGAACCUUGAGACUAUCAAGUUCCAAUCUCCCUGCCAUAGGCAGGGACACCUUCCACUAGACCAGGUAGCCCAGAGAUCCAUCCAACCUGUCUUUGAGUGCCUCCAGAGAUGGAGCAUUAACAGCUUAUCUGGGCAGUCUGUUCCUCAUCACCUGCUGAGUAAGGAAUUUCCUCCUGAAAUCUAAUCUAAAUCUUCCCUCCUCUAGUUCCCCUUGUGCCACUGCUUGUAUCCUGCAGUUCUUGUCAGGGCUAAUUAACACAGGGACAGGUCACCCAAUUACUCUCUCACAGCUUUAGGGUCAGAGUUGACAUGUGGUAACCAGAUAUGCUGGUAUAUGGCAUGUUCAUAGGUCUUUCCCCGAGUAACCCAGUCACUGCUUUCUCCCAUUGCAAAAGUAACUGUGGUAUUAAAAUGCAAGCAAUAGAAUGUUUUCACGAAAGAGACAACAUCUUUCUUCCAAGGUAUGAGAGAGAUGAAGCUCUGAGUAAUCAACUCUUGAUCUUCCCUGUAGAGAUAAGUAUUCAUUAGCAGUUGAUUACAAAGAACACAGUCUAGAUAGCCUGUAUCUAUCCAUGCAAUGCAUUAGUUCAACCUUUAUUAGUACAGAUAAUAUUCUUAUUUGGAGAGCUAUGGUGACAUGUGAAACAAAAUUGGUCUAGUCCAAAAGCGAAGAAAUUGGAAGGGGAAUGGUUUAUUAUUCCUCUGCCUUGUGAGACUUUCUAUUUUUCAGGCUUUUGGCUGAAAAAUCGUGUGGAGUUGUUUCUACUUUUUCUUAAGCUGUUUUAUAUCUGUUCACUGACAAUAAGACAAUAUAUAUAAUGGAUGUACUCCUUAAUUAACAAUUAGACUGUUGAAAAUAUGUGAUUACUGAGUGCACUUGUAUGUUUGAAAGCAGAAAUUAUUUCAGGAUAGUUUGUAAAAUGUCAUAAGGGAGUAAUUUUUGUAUUUUGUUUCUCAUAAUCAAAUAUGCCUCCAAAGCUAUGUACUUCAGUUAAAUUUACUUGUUACAAAAUUUUGGGUACAUGAUGCUUCAUAUUAACUUCAUUGUUGGACUUAUAAAAAUCAAGAAUUCAAGAGAAGUAAAAUAAAGAAGCAAACCAAUAUUUUCUCAGUCUUCAACAAAUAAUAUUAUUUAGUUGUUUUAUUCCAUUAUUAGUUCCAGUUCGUUAUAUGUUACGUUAGGGGUGACACUGAAAUUGUAAGAACAAUGUAGUCUUACUACGUGUGACCAUACUGUUGGGUUGCUUUUGACAAGAAAGUAAAAAACAUUUCC